UACGGAGGGUGCGAGCGUUGUCCGGAAUCAUUGGGCGUAAAGGGCGCGUAGGUGGCCCGGUCAGUCUUUGGUGAAAGCGCGGGGCUCAACCCUGCGUCGGCCAGGGAUACUGCCGCGGCUUGAGCACUGUAGAGGCAGGCGGAAUUCCGGGUGUAGCGGUGGAAUGCGUAGAGAUCCGGAAGAACACCGGUGGCGAAGGCGGCCUGCUGGGCAGUUUAGCUGACACUGAGGCGCGACAGCGUGGGGAGCAAACAGG
rnacentral:rRNA from 1 species